rnacentral:rRNA from 1 species
ACGCUGGCGGCGUGCCUAAUACAUGCAAGUAGAACGCUGAAGAGAGGAGCUUGCUCUUCUUGGAUGAGUUGCGAACGGGUGAGUAACGCGUAGGUAACCUGCCUUGUAGCGGGGGAUAACUAUUGGAAACGAUAGCUAAUACCGCAUAACAAUAGGUGACACAUGUCAUUUAUUUGAAAGGGGCAAUUGCUCCACUACAAGAUGGACCUGCGUUGUAUUAGCUAGUAGGUGAGGUAACGGCUCACCUAGGCGACGAUACAUAGCCGACCUGAGAGGGUGAUCGGCCACACUGGGACUGAGACACGGCCCAGACUCCUACGGGAGGCAGCAGUAGGGAAUCUUCGGCAAUGGGGGCAACCCUGACCGAGCAACGCCGCGUGAGUGAAGAAGGUUUUCGGAUCGUAAAGCUCUGUUGUAAGUCAAGAACGAGUGUGAGAGUGGAAAGUUCACACUGUGACGGUAGCUUACCAGAAAGGGACGGCUAACUACGUGCCAGCAGCCGCGGUAAUACGUAGGUCCCGAGCGUUGUCCGGAUUUAUUGGGCGUAAAGCGAGCGCAGGCGGCUUGAUAAGUCUGAAAUUAAAGGCUGUGGCUCAACCAUAGUUCGCUUUGGAAACUGUCAAACUUGAGUGCAGAAGGGGAGAGUGGAAUUCCAUGUGUAGCGGUGAAAUGCGUAGAUAUAUGGAGGAACACCGGUGGCGAAAGCGGCUCUCUGGUCUGUAACUGACGCUGAGGCUCGAAAGCGUGGGGAGCGAACAGGAUUAGAUACCCUGGUAGUCCACGCCGUAAACGAUGAGUGCUAGGUGUUGGAUCCUUUCCGGGAUUCAGUGCCGCAGCUAACGCAUUAAGCACUCCGCCUGGGGAGUACGACCGCAAGGUUGAAACUCAAAGGAAUUGACGGGGGCCC